rnacentral:rRNA from 1 species
UGGGGAAUAUUGGACAAUGGGCGCAAGCUUGAUCCAGCCAUGCCGCGUGAGUGAUGAAGGCCCUAGGGUUGUAAAGCUCUUUCACCGGUGAAGAUAAUGACGGUAACCGGAGAAGAAGCCCCGGCUAACUUCGUGCCAGCAGCCGCGGUAAUACGAAGGGGGCUAGCGUUGUUCGGAUUUACUGGGCGUAAAGCGCACGUAGGCGGACUAUUAAGUCAGGGGUGAAAUCCCGGGGCUCAACCCCGGAACUGCCUUUGAUACUGGUAGUCUUGAGUUAGAGAGAGGUGAGGUGAAUUCCGAGUGUAGAGGUGAAAUUCGUAGAUAUUCGGAAGAACACCAGUGGCGAAGGCGGCUCACUGGCUCGAUACUGACGCUGAGGUGCGAAAGCGUGGGGAGCAAACAGG